rnacentral:lncRNA from 1 species
ACCCUUCCAGGACGCGGCCUCCUCGCUUCUUAAAAUGUCUGAGCUCUACGAAGUGGAACUGUUAGCCCUCCGUUUAUUGCCUUACUUCACACUGAAAUAAGCCAACGUUUAUUUUAUUUUAUUUAUUUUAUUAUUUAUUUUAUUAUUUUUUUUCGAGACGGAGUCUCGCUCUGUCCCAGGCUGGAGUGCCGUGGCGGGAUCUCGACUCACUGCAACCUCCGCCUCCGUGUUCAAGCUAUUCUACCUCAGCCUCCCGAGUAGCUGGGAUUACAGGUGCCCGCCACCACGCCCGGCUAAUUUUUGUAUUUUUAGUAGAGAUGGGGUUUCACCAUGUUGGCCAGGCUGAUCUCGAACUGCUGACCUUGUGAUCCUCCCGCCUCAGCCUCCCAAAGUGUUGGGAUUACAGGCGUGAGCCACCGCGCCCGGCCCCCAACGUUUCUUUUUAAGCCUGUCAUAUCUCACAUUAAAUGUGUAAGUCUCUGAACUGUAGGGCUUUGAACAAAGGAAAGUUCCAUGAGAAUACUAUAUGAUGCCAAUUUCUACUGUUAGGAACGCGAUAACAGGAGCUGGAGGCUGCCCCAUCCACUCCAAGCCAGAGAACAAGCAGAGGCUGCCACAGGAGAUCCUGGGCAAGUAAUCAGCCACAGCAUCUAGAUUAGCAUGAAGGAAACACUGGCCAAAUUAAAAGAUGAAACUUCCAAAAGGCUGGGAGGGACUGUGGCCAGCGCUGACACGGAAGUGGCCCGUCAAACAAAUGCUGCUGAGAGUACGAGAGCCAAGACCCAGGCAGAAGCCAGAGGAGGCAUCUGAAGUGAAGGGAGAAGACACUGCAGAUGGGGAAUCUGAGGAGUCCCCCACCCUCGAGAUCCCUACCUCUGGAUGCGGAUGCUCUGAUCUUGGUGGCCCUGAGUGGCUAUCAUGACAUCAGCCUCAUCCAGAACAAACACCUUGAUUUUCUUGGGAUCAAUGAACUUGAGCUUGGAGCACCAGUCCAGCACA